GUCUACGGCCAUACCCCUCUGAACACACCCAAUCCUGUCUGAUCUGGGAAGAAAAGUGUGCACGUCUAGCCUGGGAUUGUGGUGUCACACAAGCUGAGGGUAAUAAGAAGUGAUGAGUCC
ensembl:rRNA 5S_rRNA 5S ribosomal RNA